GCGUAGGUCCACUAGGGUUCCGUCCACCGUCAAACGUGGGGUCUGGUCCGAGAGUGGUCCGGCCUGAUCGCAGGCUCCACGGAGGGAUAAAAGCCCGGGAGAA
rnacentral:sRNA from 2 species